AAGGACUGAGUCCUUCGUUCGGAGAAAUCCCCAUAGACGGCAAAGGAUGCAUAUGUGUAUCCUUCGCGCUCCCAUAUCACCCACAAUCCCUUGCGCGCGGCUUUGCCGGCUUGUUUAAAAAAAUUAAAUGGCGGACCUAAGCGGGAGUUGGAGCGGUAUCGCUGACGGCGAAAUAAUCAUUUAAAUGGACAAACUGAGGCUGUCACUGAGGAUGGGAAAGCAAAAGACAAGCAGGGAGACAAGAGGCCAAAGAGAGAUGAAUAGCUAGAUUAUUUGCUAAAGCCUUUUAGAGAUUGGCAUUCUGAAAAUAAAUGCAUUAAAUUAA